GUUAGUGUGGCAUAGUGGUUUGAGUGUUGGACUACGACUUGUGGGACCAGGGUUCAAUUCCCAGCUCAGUCA